AGCAACUCUCCUGAUGAAGAGCCCACAAUGGAUCCUAGCCUAUUCUCUCCAGUCUGAAUUUCUCACCUGAUUUGACGUCUGUGCAUAUGCAGUGCUGCUAAUGUCCAGAAGAGAAUGUGCAUAUAAAGAAAUGAGGGCCACUGAAGGAUGAGUUGGAAACGUAGCUGACACUGGAGGCCCAAGCAGGCAUCUACCUCAAACCCAACGUGAAUCUCAGGACAGGUUUGCUCAGCUUGGUGGGUGGGCGGGAAGAAGACGCGAUGACCGAGAAGCAAAAGUGGAACCUUAGAGUCAUGAGAGGAUGGUGAGUUUGAGGGCAUGGGAGCCCUGUCCACUAGUAACAUGGACCUCCUGAAUGCCUGACCCUGGCCAACCCCAUCAGCACUUCCUCCUCUGCGUGUGUGGGGGGCAGGGUGUGUGGGCACGGCGGGGAACAGGGGUUUAGCAGCAGUGAGACUCAGGCAUUUUCAGGCCGGUAGGAACCAAGCCGCUCUGAGACUCAGUCUGGCCACAGCCACCAUCCCCUGGGAGGAGAGGAUUGGCAAGACCUGGUGGACCAUUAGGGAGUGGCCUGAAGUUUAGGGCAGAGGUUCUGCCCAAAGGGGAAUGGGAUUCUGCUGGGGGACCAGGAUGCAGCCACAGGGGGGGAGCAGGGGCAGGUAGGAGGGAGCAGGGAUGCUCCAAGUUUAGGGGCAUGUUCUGCUGGAGUCGGUCACUUUGGGGUCACUAGCAAGCAAGCCUCCUGGUAUCUCUGCUUCGGGGUGCUCUGUCCUGUGACUCACUGUAACCAAUGAAGCAGGUGGGAGUGACAGGGAAGUGUGCUAGUUCCAGGCCUAAGCUUCUGCUUUUGCACUGGGGAAGCCUGAGCUGCCGCAUAGUGCACUGAACCCCGAGACUUGUGGAGAGAGUGAGGUACAGCUGUCCCAGCCUCCCAGCUGAGCCUGGCCCCACUGACCCUUCGGCUCCAUGUAGCAUGUGCCUGACUGCUGGCCAGGCCAGCAGGAGAUGUCCCCCAGCAGAGCCCAGCCCUGCUUGCAGAAUCCUGGCAAGUAAAGUGACCAUUCAUUUAAGUGGCUGAGUUUUGGGGUAGCUGAAACUCCCACUCCAAGUCUAUCCUCUGGCUCCUGCCUGGUGGGCAGAGGUAGCUGAUCCACCUCCUGCUCUGGACAGACCUGGCUCUGGCACUGGGAGGACUUGAUGCCACAGGGAGAGACUCCAUGAGUGACACUGGCAUGGGCAGGUUGGCAAAUAGGGUAUCAGCAGAAGUGGCCUGAGUUGGGUGGUAUCUCUGUGCCCAAGGGGUCUGGGGCAGGUACUCCCAGGCAGUGCUAAUCUGCCCAUGGCCCAAGGGACAUCUUGGAGCUCAGCUGACUGGUUUUUGCAGACUGUGGCUCAAUCUACAGCGUUGUCCAAAGCAUCCUUCACAGGCUGCCAGACAUAAAGCAUGUCUGGGUUAUCUUGUUCCUCACCGAGUGGGCGUCAAGCUCAGCGUCUGACACAAGUGGACUCAAGCUAGCUACAUGGAGGAGUGCGCGAGAGGGGAGCCUUCCCCUGGGGCUUCCAUGGUGGAUCCCUUAUAGCCCUCACCAGACCCUGAGCCAUUCUCUGUAGUCAGACCGAAGGCGUUGGGAGGCCAGGGAUGGAUCUGGAAGGGGUGCCGUGCACACAGGAAGUGCCCGGCAAUGCUUGUGGCAUGAAGAAAUGUGGGAGAUGGAGAGCCUCAACCUCUUCUAGAUGCUUUUGCUGCAGGCAGGUGUGGUGUGCGCAUGCACAGGACAGAGCUGAUAAAGACUGACCUUCGUCUCCUCCUGGGAGGCACAGAGAGUCCGAUGUCCGUUAUGUGUCAAUAAUUCUGCAUUAUUUAAAAUUUAGGUAUUGUGACCAAAACACAUUUAUUUGUUUAUUUAUUUAUUUAUUUUAUUAUACUUUAAGUUCUAGGGUAGAUGUGCACAACAUGCCGGUUUGUUACAUAUGUAUACAUGUGCCAUGUUGGUGUGCAGCACCCAUCAACUCGUCAUUUACAUUAGGUAUAUCUCCUAAUGCUAUCCCUCUCCACUUCCCUCACCCCACACCAGGCCCUUCCUGUGAUGUUCCCCUUCCUGUGUCCUAGUGUUCUCAUUGUUCAGACCAAAACACAUUUAUAAACUCACCUGUCAGUAUCUCUUGCCAUCUUCUCAUCCCUUGCGGGUCAGAGGACCCUCAAGAUGGAUCAGCAGUGACCUUGUGCAUAUGGAGAGGGGCCCUGGGGGUGUGGAGCCUGCUGGGCAUUGCAGAGCUGACGGUGCCUCUGUGUCGUUGCUCCAUGGAGUCUGUCUGCCCCCAGCUCCACUCCUCCCAUGUCACCAUCCCCAGCCCACCCCACACAUUUCCACUCUGAAACUCUGUGAGAUGUGAGGAUCUGUCUGUGUGUUUUCAAUGAAUGCAAGUGUACUACCCAUCUCCUAUUUCUUACCUCUGCUCUGAGCCUGAUGCUCUUCAGAUUAACCAUGGUCCUUCCUGGGCCUCUGGCAUUGCUUUGUGUAGCUGUUAGUCUUUUUUUUUUCUCCUGUAGCCCAAGCUGGAGUGCAGUGGCACAUUCUUGGCUUACUGCAACCUUUACCUCCAGGGCUCAAGUGAUCUCCUGCCUCAGCCUCCCAAGUAGCUGGACUACAGCCAUUCCUUCCCAUGUCAGGAGGCUUCCUUGCAGCAUGUGCUGAUCAAUUCCCAUCUGAUCCACCACUGUACAGAGAGGUCCAAGAGGCAAGGCGCUGAGAUUAUCUGUCUACAGCUCUGUGAGUGAGUCGCCAUGGAUGUGGGGUCUCCUGUUCAGUCAAGCCUUCCAUGACCACAGUCGCAGCUGCACCUUGACCACCAACCUGUGAGAGACCCCAGACAUUUGCUGAUGACCUUCAUGCCAGAUGCCCACUUGAGAGCGUGGAGAGAGUGGCAUGUAGCACUCUCUGCCUGCUGAGUGGCCUGUACACGCCCCUGGGGUCGCUGGCUCCAGGGCCUGUGUUUGUCCUGCUAUGGCAAACCACACUGCCUUCUCUAAGGCAGCAUCUCCUGGUGGGAAGAGUAUCAUCUGCUUUGAAGUUCUGUGAAUGGACCAGAGGAAGUGAAAUGAAGAAAAGAGACCAAAUGGGAAGCUGUUGCUAUGGUCCAGGCAGGGGGUGCUGAUGACAGGAGAUGCUGGAGGCCAGAGCCAGGGCUGGCAGUCACUGGUCAGCAGAGGAUGCCAUAUGUCAUUUGACAGAUUUGGAAGUUGGAAGAACGUGCACCGCCCAUUUCCUUCAGGACAAGAGCGUGGAGGGGUGGGAAAGCCCUCUCUCUAUGUGGGGCGCUGUGGAAACCCAAAUCGCAAAGUCAUCUCUUCGUUAUUUGUGAAAGAAUGGACAAUUGUGUACCUGGUUGGAAAUCUUUAAUUUCACAUUUCUUAAACAUCAGAUUUUCAAAAACGGGAGCAGGUCCCGGAGCCAGCAGUUUGGACAGUGGCCUCUGGAUUCCUCGACUCCUUGGCCAUGGCGGAGGCAGAUGUUCACACCGGGCAAGCUCUGUGCAUCUUCCUGGGCUGUUCCUGGAGGGAGGAAUGACCAGCUUCUGCCAGCCCCUCCAGCCCUUCCAGAAACUUGGCCGUUGCUGAAUUCCCUGUAUCAACCCCUUUCUGCUCAAAUGAACUGGUGAGGUUUCUGAUACUGAUCAGGUGCAUCUGAUCCUGACUGGUAAACAAGAACAGAAGGGAGCCUCAAGAACAAAGGCCAUCGGAAAGGCCGUUCCCUGGCGUGGAGCCCCACAGGCCGUUCCCUGGCGUGGAGCCCCACAGCCCCUCAACCGUGGUUGAGGUUGACUGAAAACAGAGCAAGAGAGGCCCUCGCCCAUCUCAGGCCCUCUCCAUGCCCUCUUUCUGGUGGGAUCCAUGAAAGAAACUGGCAGCAUGUUUCUAUUUCUUGGGAUUUAAGAUCCUUUGUGUGAAAUAUUUAAAAAACCAGGUUAUGGUUUAUCCGUAAAUUCUGACUGCAUCCCACUGGCUUCCUGACACCUCGUGGGCCAUUUUUCCUCCCCCGGGUUCCACAGUGUUCCGCCGUAUGGAUGCACCACAUUUGGCUUCUCCAUACGCCCACCAGUGACUGCUUUCUGGGCAUUAUGACCAACACUGAUGAGAGCAUUUGUGUACGUUUUUCUUUGACUCCCUGCAGAAUUUUGGUGUGGGCUGAUUCUCGGGUUUCACUGGACCCGGCCUCCUCUGGUGAGUGCCUGCUAAGACUGUAAUUCACUGAUUGGCUAUCCUGGGAUUUGUUUUCCUCAGAUGAGACUGAUGCUUUCUGCUAAAUACAAUGGAUUACUUAGAGGGUCUUGAAGGGGCAUGAUACUGCAAUAUGCACCUUCCAUGGCCUGGAAUCUUCCUGAGUCUUGUCUUGGUUGAACUGCCUUCCAUGUACACGUGGGGUCUGUCUCUCUCUCUACUAUGUUUUUCGAAGGAUCCUCUGAGGCUAUUUCUGGAUUUUCCUGCUACUGUCUCUAUUUCCCAAAGACCCAACUCUGUUCUCAGAUUUAUCAAAGCUUUGAGACCAGAAGUAUUUGAAGUAUGAGAUCAACUCUAUUAGCGCCUUAGGAAUUAAGAUGCCAGGCCUGUUUCCUGAUAAUGCUCUGUUUUAGUAAUCACGGCUUUGUGCCACCUUAUACUGUAUAUAUCUGAUCUUUUGCAUGGAUGGCAUUUGCUUUCAGUAAGAUUGGUUUAGGGCUGAGGUGAUUGUGAGCUGCGUUGCUGGAAGAGUGGCGAUUGGAGGAAGAUGGUGAUCCCCUGCCCCACCCAAGCUGUGGAUACAUCAUCUCUCGACCACUGCCCCCAGGGUAGAGGCUGAAGCCCACGUAGAUGCCCCCAGUCACUCACGACGGCUUGCUGUUCAAGGCUCCCUGCUUUGUUCCCUGUGCCACGCCCUGCAUGAUGCCAGUGCCGUGGUGCCCAUGGGUUGCCAAUCUGCAAACAUGAGUGACAUGGCUCAGCAAAACCUCCUCUUGACGUCCAUGGAAAGCGCGGGGCCGCUGAGCAUGACCCAGAGAACUGCAGAGUGUGUGUCUCAAGCUCUCUGGGCACAUGAGCCCACUAGCCCCCUCUGAGGAUGUUGGAAAGGAGGAGAAGAAAGAGGAAAGCAGAGAGGAUCGCCGCGCAGAGUCCAGGCUGCAGCUUGGGCUUUGUGCACCUCUGCCUGCUAACGGGAUCCACCUCAAGUCAAGAAGGUGCUGGCUCACCCUUCCCUCAAGAUUUUAGAGAUCCCAGUGCAUGUCCUGGAAAUCCUUUAAAAUUCAAAGAAAACAAGCAAAGCUCUGGCUAAUUAAAUGUUUUCUGCUUACCGUCGUUAACAUAUUAAUGAGACAGGUUAAAUGUAUUACUUAGUGGUGUAUUACUUAGCUCUUAGGUCUGUGCACCCCUUUUUGAGAGGAUUUCUCCAUGUGGCAUCUGUGUUUACAGUGCACUGGCUUUCUGUUCAUAGGGCUUUUACGUGGGGGUGAUGGCACGGCAGAAAGCAUCCCCAGGGUGAGAAGGGGAUGGGGAGGUCCACAUUGCAGUUCAGACCCCCUGGACACCUGCCUUUGAGAUAGCCACGUCCCUCAGCCUUUCCUUUCAAAGGAUGGUGGGUCAGUUUCUAAUGUUCCCAUUUUGACCUCUCAGACUCAGGGACUGGGGCUAGAGCACAGGUCCUCUCGCUGAGGUCACUGUAGCGCUUCAGAGGCAUCAGCACUCUUGCUUUCUUUAGCACAUCCUUGGUUUUCAGUUUUUAUGGGUACACAGUGAGCCACCCCAAACUUAGUACAACAGCAGCCAUUUUGCUGUGUUCGCGGAUUCUGUGGGUAAGGAAUUUGGAAGGAGCCCAGGGUGUGGUGCGUCAGUUGGGAGGAUUCGAGUUGAUAGUAGUUUUGCUCACUCCCCUGUCUGUGGCGCACAUGGCCUCUGUGUGACUGGGCUUCCUUGCAGCAUGGCAUCCUGAGCCGCCUUCCACGGGGGCUUGCUCAGGGCUCCCAGCACGAGGGUUCCAGCCAACAGGGUGGAUUCCACAGCGCCUUUUCUGGCCCAGUCUCUGCCACACUGAAUCAUCUAUACCUGGCGAAAUCCGACUUCCUUUCUGCCAGACCCUUCUCUGGUCCUCAAGGUCCCUUACUGUUUUUGCCCUUGGUUACAACCUCCUGUGUACCUGUCCUGGAGUGUUGUGGUUAGGAGUGUGGUCUCGGGUGCAGACUGAAAUAUACUGCUGUGUGCAGUAGGAACCUUGGCUGCUGCCCUAUGUUCAUGGCAAGCACUUCAGAGCCGAGCCUGGUGCGAGGCGAGUCCUCCAUCAACGGCCUUGACUUUUCUUUCCCAGACUAAAGUGCAGGUUCCUUCAGGGAAGCUCUGUCUUGGUCAUCUCUGCCUGGCAUUUCCUGCAGGACUUGGCAAGUACUGCGUUCCCUCUGCUUGGGGAGUCUGCGCUGGGUCUGUCUCCUGUUCUGUAAGUCUCACAAAUUCACCCUCUCAGAGCAGCCGUCUCUGCCUGUCCCCUGCUAGGAGCUGUGGUGCCCCCCACUCAUCUUGUUUCCUUUUGUUCAUGACACUAGCUCUAAUGAAAAUGUUUCAUCCCCCGUUUGUUUCUGUCAGACCAGGAUGUGAACCCCAGCAGAGGCAGAUCUGGGCCUGUCUCCUUCCCUGCUAUUCAGUGCCUACAAGAGGGUCUGGGCCAAAAAUGAAGGGAGAGGAGGAAGGGAGGGGUAAAAAGAUCGACUUCAGGAAGAUUUCAGAAACACGGUGCUGAGAGUAGUAGGGCCAUGUACCAGGGUGGGAUUUACUUCCUUUUUACACACUUAACAAAUCUCAAAGACAUCCAUUCAGCUUUCAGUUUAGGUGAAAUCUAUUCAUAAUAAAAAUAAAAUGGUAUCUCAACGACAACUUAAUUUUGAGUGAAAAUAUUUUCCAGAGGGCAGGGGGCUCUAAAUACGAAGAAGCAGAGAAGCGCGUCACCUCUCCCUAGUGGACUCAUGGCCCUCGAUGGAGCCACCUGGAGCCCAGGCACUUUGUGGUUUAUUCCUGGGUCGCCUCCACCUCCGUCCCUCAGUUAUGAGGCUGUGAUGAUCCACAGCAAGCCCCCAUUCUUGCUGCUCCACUGGUGUGAUUUUCUUGGAACCGAAAUGAGGAGAGGACAGGAUUGUGUGUUUUGCAAAAGCACAGCGUUAGACGUUCGUUGGUUUUCCUCUGUGCUUCCACGACUUGAGGGCAACCAUCUAGCAGUUUACAGGGGUUCUGAAUAAAUUCCAGGGACCUGGAAAUUAUUGGAUUUAUUUUAUUUUGAGUAGAAACAUGUUAUGUUUAGUUUGGUAACGGCAUGCUCUACUUAGUGUGAUCAUGCCUAGCUCUCUUGUUUUGUAUCCGCUUUGGAGUCUGGCUCUGGGCAAGUACUCAAAUGCUCACAGGAAUUCCACGGCUCAGGGCAUCCUCUGAACCCAAGGGCCUCUAAAGGGGGAACAGCAACGUGGGAACAUGGGUGGGGACAGCGAGUGAGGGGCCGGGUGCAGGGUGACGGCAGGUGUAGGUUCUGCACCAUGCACACUGCACUGCAUGGGGGCACUGUGCGUUCCCCAGCGGAGCGCAAUGAUGCCGCAGAGUGUGAAGUCACAGGUCUCAGCACUCAGCGGGGAGUGGAGGUGCUUGGGUUUGAGAACCCGGGGGAGCAGGCAGCUCGGGGCCAGCAGAUCCGCCCCUCUGCCCUUGGGGAGCUUUUGGCCGUCUGCUGGGUGAGAGCGUGGUGGUCACUGGUGGGUUCACGUGAUUCCCCGUCAUUGUGUCUCUACGGCCCCGCCCUCCCUGACUGUGCCUCCGUGCCCUCUGCAGUUGAACGUUAGUCAUGAUCAUAGGACUUUAAUGAUCUUAUUAAGUACCCAGUGCCGGCCUCAAUUUUUACUUGGAGAAUGUGGGGUUUACAUGACAAAAUAUGACUCAUGCACGCAUGCUGACUGCCAGAAUUAGGGGCUCUUGGGCUUAGCUGCUGGUUGGAGUCACCUGGGAGCUUCAGGAAACUCCAAGGCCAGGCCUUCCCUCCCAGAGGUGGGGCUGAACGGACCUGGGGUGCAACCUGGGCUCUGGGGCUCAGGAGCUGCCGCAGGCUGGGGGGAGCCAGCAGGGCACCUGUGGGGUUCUCUGGGUGGUCCAGCGGAAGCCAAUGCUGGGCUCUGGAGAGGAGAGUGAGCAGCAGUGCGGAGUUCAAACCCUCAUCACAGACCUGGCUGCUCAGGGCAGCACGACCUUUUGGAAGAGUAUGUGGGCGAGAAAUUGGAUUAUUUAUCUAAAAUAAAUGCCAGCAUGGUGUGAGUGGGUGACUUUGUUUAGAUGUAACUAUGCAUAGAUUAGGCUGUUUGGAUGUGUUUAAUUAUGGCAUGUGAUGGCACCACUUUACCAAUCAUUUGCAUUAAAUGUCCUCAAGCCUAGUUUGAGACUUUAGAUCAAGUUAAAACUGUUUUAUCUGUCAGCACCUGGGAGACUUGGGAAGGACUGUCACUGCAGGACCAGUCCUAACUGUCCCUAUCAUGUGGAUCACAGGAUGUCAAGCUGUUUUGCAGAAGUAGCAGAGCCGAAACUGCAGUCAUAUGACCUGGGCAUGUGGACAGCAGGAAACCAUCACCUCAGUAACACUUAGAACCAACGUUUCCUCCCUGAGGAAUCAAAAAGCCUGGGCAUCACUGGAAGCUGAACACUGGAACCCUUUCAGAAAUAAGCGGUCUGUUAUCCAGAAAGAGCCAGUGCUGAAGUCCACCGUUCCCCACCUUACCGUAAAUAACCACGUUUAAAGCUGUCCCAUCAAAAUCCGCCCCGCCAGUGCAUCUGCAUACCAACCUGCCCUCUCCAGCCCACUAGAGUCUCACCCGACCUAAUACUGGGGAUUCAGAUCUGAGCCCUGCCUCCUGUCUCCUUGCUGGUUGGCCUUGCAAU